GUCUCCGGAGGUCUCACUCCUGCCUCCCUUCUGGGAUUACUCUUCCCUCUGCCAAGUAAACCGAGCCGAUUUCGAGCACUUCUGCGUCCAGAGGCUGCGCUAACCCCCAGGGCCAAGGUCACUGCACAGACAAGCAGAGGGAGGACGGGCUGUGCUCUCGGGGUCGGGGAGAGCCCACCGCCGCCUGAGCAAUGUAGAGUUUCUCAAAUGUCACUUCAGCUAUCAACAGACAAGAAGGAACUGAGAGAAGAGCCUGGUGCCAUCUCACACACCUGUAAUCCCAGCUACUUGGGAGGCUGAGACAGGGAGAUCCCAAAUUCAAGCAUCCUCAUCUGUUGAAUAGUGAAGGUGGAGGAGUGAUUCAGUGAUCUCUGAAGACCCUGCAAGUUCUAAAUUUCUAUGAUUCUGCUCAUGAAAGAGUCAGAGGUUAACCAGAGGGUGAUAGCUAUGCGAGGAGGCCCAGGUCCAUGUGGCUGAGAAAGCGGUUUUUGUUUACAAAGGAGAAUCAAGCCUAGGGACAGUGGGGAGCCUUCAUUCUGAGUUGUAGGGACCCAGGGCCACCCUCACCUUCCUUUCUGGCAUCUGCCCAGACCCCAGGAGCAUGACCUUACACUCCCCAGCUUCUCCUCUGCUCCCCAUCAGCACUUCCAGCCAGUUACCCUGUGCCACUCCUCUCUGAGAUAUCACUCACCCUUUUAUUUCCCCCCGUCUCCUGACAAACCCACCCUGUCCCCUAGUCCAGACCCUCUCCAUGUCUCUCCUGGGUCUCUGUAAUACACCCCUCACGUUUCUGACCUCCCUCCUGUUGGUUUAUCCCUCUCUCCUAGUUAGUCUCCUAUCUCUUUGACCAAUCUUUCUCAGCUCCCUUGUGUUUCAGCCACCUCACCUGCUUCCCCUUGAUUUGUUCACCCCUUAAAUUUGAGUGAACCCCCUAAAAUUUUGUUCUUAGCCAUUUCACAGUGGUGACAAUAACAACAGCAAAAACAACCAGGAUUUAUUGGUGCUUAUAAACCACAAAGAGCUUCAUAUGUAUUUUCAUUUGAUUCUAUGAGGCACCUAUAAUCUCCAGUUAACAGAAGUCAAUUUUGCCUUCAUGGAAUUUCUAAGAACUGUUCUUUCCCUUUUAUUUCCAUUGCCACUGCCCUAAUUUAAGCCCUUAAUACCUCAUCUUAGAACCUCGCUUCGGUGCCCCAGCUGACAAUACUGUAGGUCUUAGCAGCCGAUGAGAAGGAAAGGAUGUAGUUCCAGUUAACCAAUUGACUAAGGGCUUUUGGCUUAGCUGAACCAGUCCAGGCCCCACUCAGAACAGUGGUUACACAGUGGGCUGUGCUGUAAAGAUAAGGCACUCAGAACUAGAAUCAUUUAGGGGGAAAGAUUAGGGUCACACACAAAAAAUCAGAACCUAUGAGUGGUCUAAGCAGAAAGAGGACAGUUCCUGAUGAAACAGGUGAAAGGCUGCAUAAUGAGCUCCAGAAGAAUCUCCUUAGAAGCUCUGCUCCACCCCUAGGAUUUGCGUGUCCGUCCAGAACUAUCUUCUGUCUACCCAAUCUACAACCUCAGACUGUGGGAGAAGGUAAAUCUCCACUCUGGAGUUUAAGUCAGGAAAAUCCUAUCCCUGGGAAGCAAAAAGAAUAAGAAUAAAGGAGCCAAUAUUAGAAAUAUUGAACAAAGAAAUUUAAAUUCAUAACAUUGUUUUUAUAAUGGGUGGAGAUUUUUUGCAAUCAGUGUAAUAUUGUGUUUUAUCUGUUUUUAAUGAUGUUUAAAGCUUUGAAGAAAAACUGAUAGAUUUAUGAAGAGCUUGAUUUCAUUUGCAAUCAAUGUUUAAAUAUUUCGAGAGAUAUCUGUUAAAUACAGAAGUUUUUGAUUUUCUGGUUGUAUAGUAGUAUAAGAAUAUUUAGGGGAAUGUUAAUAAUUGAAUAAAGAUUAAUAAAUUGUACAUCAAAGUACAAAAAAUAAUGAAUCUUUUUUCCAUGCCCAAAAGUACAUGGAG
ensembl:lncRNA